AAGGGACCAAAAGGGAAUUUCUUAUCACUCUAACAGUUUGUGCCACUUUCGAAAAGGAGUGUUUUCCCCAUGUUUGUGAGUACCAGAGUGUUCUCCCACCCAUAUGACCUCGCAGCACCCAUCCUUGAUGUGCCCCCACACUCAGCAACAUCAUAGGGGAAUUUGCCAAAAUUUCUGUUUGCAAAGACAUUCAGAAGCACCAAAGUUCCCUCCAACAACUGCAGUAGGUUCUAAACACAAAUUCAGCAGUAUGCUUUCAAAAGGGGAGGAACAACCCAGAAAUUCAGCAGUAUGCUUUCAAAAGGGGAGGAACAACCCAGAAAUUCAGCAGUGUGCUUUCAAAAGAGGAGGAACAACCCAGAAAUUCAGCAGUAUGCUUUCAAAAGCGGAGGAACAACCCAGAAAUUCGGCAGUAAGCUUUCAAAAGGGGAGGAACAACCCAAGGGGAGAUUACCUGGUUCUGAAGAUCUUCAAUCUCUUUGUAGUAGCAGCUGUAGUCACGGGGCUCGCAGGAGAGGCCCUGUGUUGCAUACCACUCUCUGAUCCUGCACUCCAACUCGGCAUUCUCCUUCUCCAAGCACUUCACUUUGUCCAGGUAGGAAGCCAGGCGGUCAUUGAGGUUCUGCAUGGUGACCUUCUCAUCGCAGGAUGAAAGCAAGCAGUCGCCACCAAGACCACCAACAACCACACCACCUCCAAGGCCAAA